rnacentral:lncRNA from 1 species
AUCAAUGGCGUCCAUGGCUACCACUCUCACUUCUCUUUCUUCCAACCCAAAACCAGCUUUCUUCGACAACAAGUCCUCCUUCCAUGGCUCUCCCAUCUCCUAUCGUGUCCUUCCCAUCAAGGUCUCCCACCAAAGCCCCACAAUUUCCAUGUCCUCCGUCUCUCCAUACGAUCUUCAGAGCUUCAAGUUCGAACCCAUCAAGGAGUCCAUCGUUGCGCGCGAGAUGACUCGCCGUUACAUGAUGGACAUGAUCACCUACGCCGACACCGACGUCGUCAUCGUCGGAGCCGGCUCCGCGGGGCUCUCGUGCGCGUACGAGCUCAGCAAGAACCCGUCAAUCCGUGUGGCGAUAAUCGAGCAGUCCGUCAGUCCCGGCGGCGGCGCGUGGCUCGGGGGCCAGCUGUUCUCAGCCAUGGUGGUGAGGAAGCCUGCUCAUCACUUCCUUGAUGAGCUUGGCAUCGAGUAUGAUGAGCAGGACAACUACGUUGUGAUCAAGCAUGCCGCUCUGUUCACUUCCACCAUCAUGAGCAAGCUCUUGGCCAGGCCUAAUGUGAAGCUCUUCAACGCCGUGGCCGCUGAGGAUUUGAUUGUGAAGGAAGAGAGGGUGGCCGGCGUAGUCACCAACUGGGCUUUGGUUUCAAUGAACCACGACACACAGUCCUGUAUGGACCCCAAUGUGAUGGAGGCGAAGGUGGUGGUGAGCUCUUGCGGCCACGACGGGCCCUUCGGAGCCAC